ACGGAAGGCAGCAGUGGGGAAUAUUGCACAAUGGGGGAAACCCUGAUGCAGCGACGCCGCGUGAGUGAAGAAGUUAUUCGUAAUGUAAAGCUCUAUCAGCAGGGAAGAAAAUGACGGUACCUGACUAAGAAGCCCCGGCUAACUACGUGCCAGCAGCCGCGGUAGUACGUAGGGGGCAAGCGUUAUCCGGAUUUACUGGGUGUAAAGGGAGCGUAGACGGUUUGGCAAGUCUGAAGUGAAAUGCGGGGGCUCAACUCCUGAACUGCUUUGGAAACUGUCGAACUAGAGUGCAGGAGAGGUAAGUGGAAUUCCUAGUGUAGCGGUGAAAUGCGUAGAUAUUAGGAGGAACACCAGUGGCGAAGGCGGCUUACUGGACUGUAACUGACGUUGAGGCUCGAAAGCGUGGGGAGCAAACAGGAUUAGAUACCCUGGUA
rnacentral:rRNA from 1 species